CCUACGGGGGGCAGCAGUGAGGAAUAUUGGACAAUGGUCGGAAGACUGAUCCAGCCAUGCCGCGUGCAGGAAGACGGCCUUAUGGGUUGUAAACUGCUUUUGCAGGGGAAGAAUAAGGAGUACGUGUACUUUGAUGACGGUACUCUGCGAAUAAGCAUCGGCUAACUCCGUGCCAGCAGCCGCGGUAAUACGGAGGAUGCGAGCGUUAUCCGGAAUCAUUGGGUUUAAAGGGUCCGUAGGCGGGCUAAUAAGUCAGAGGUGAAAGCGCUCAGCUCAACUGAGCAACUGCCUUUGAAACUGUUAGUCUUGAAUGGUUGUGAAGUAGUUGGAAUGUGUAGUGUAGCGGUGAAAUGCUUAGAUAUUACACAGAACACCGAUAGCGAAGGCAUAUUACUAACAAUUAAUUGACGCUGAUGGACGAAAGCGUGGGGAGCGAACAGGAUUAGAUACCCGGGUAGUC
rnacentral:rRNA from 1 species